UGGCGGACGGGGGAGUAAUGUCUGGGAAACUGCCCGAUGGAGGGGGAUAACUACUGGAAACGGUAGCUAAUACCGCAUAACGUCGCAAGACCAAAGAGGGGACCUUCGGGCCUCUUGCCAUCGGAUGUGCCCAGAUGGGAUUAGCUAGUAGGUAAGGUAACGGCUUACCUAGGCGACGAUCCCUAGCUGGUCUGAGAGGAUGAUCAGCCACACUGGGACUGAGACACGGCCCAG
rnacentral:rRNA from 1 species